GGGCGGUUAGCUCAAUUGGCAGAGCACUUCUCUUACAAAGAAGGGGUUAUAAGUUCGAGUCUUAUACCGCCCA
rnacentral:tRNA from 1 species